rnacentral:tRNA from 1 species
AAUAAGAUGCCUGAUAAAAGGGCUAUUUUGAUAGAAUAGAUAAUGUAAAUUUUACUCUUAUUA